ACCAUUGGCUUCAUUUCUUGCGAACACUAUAUCCUCUUUCAAAUUAUACUUGAUUUGAUAUUUGCAAAAAAUAAUGAUUUUUAUGUAUGAUUCAUCAAAUAAUAAUUGGUGUUGCUUGAUUAAUUUAGAGAGAUGUAUAGGUUGUAAGUUGUUGUUAAUGAAGAUUAUAUGAAGGCUACUCAUAAUCUGUUCAACAAAAUGCUCCAAAGACCCUUUAAAUUUGUAGGUGUUGCAGAAAUGGAGGAGGGUAGCUCGAGUUUAC
rnacentral:lncRNA from 1 species